AUUGAACGCUGGCGGCAGGCCUAACACAUGCAAGUCGAGCGGGGUUUUCGGACCUAGCGGCGGACGGGUGAGUAAUGCGUAGGAAGCUGCCCGAUAGAGGGGGAUACCAGUUGGAAACGACUGUUAAUACCGCAUAAUGUCUACGGACCAAGGUGUGGGACCUUCGGGCCACAUGCUAUCGGAUGCGCCUACGUGGGAUUAGCUAGUUGGUGAGGUAAUGGCUCACCAAGGCGACGAUCUCUAGCUGGUUUGAGAGGAUAAUCAGCCACACUGGAACUGAGACACGGUCCAGACUCCUACGGGAGGCAGCAGUGGGGAAUAUUGGGCAAUGGGCGCAAGCCUGAUCCAGCCAUGCCGCGUGUGUGAAGAAGGCCUUCGGGUUGUAAAGCACUUUCAGCGAGGAGGAAGGGGUGUGUGUUAAUAGUACACACCUUUGACGUUACUCGCAGAAGAAGCACCGGCUAACUCUGUGCCAGCAGCCGCCGUAACAC
rnacentral:rRNA from 1 species